GGCGCAGUAGCCAAGUGGUAAGGCGGCUGUCUGCAAAACAGCUAUACGGCAGUUCGACUCUGCCCUGCGCCU
rnacentral:tRNA from 2 species